GCAGACGGCGGAGAGCUGAGAUGGAGCGCGCCUUGGCCCGCUGGCCUUGGCCGCAGCUCCUCGGGAGAACCGGGGCGCCCACGCGAGAAUCUCCCCACCUGGGUCUCUUCAGGGAUGACAUCAUCCGUUCACCUCCUUGUCUUCAAGGACCACCUCUCGAUGCCACGCUGCUGCCAAGAGGACACUAGGAGCUCCGACCCCUGGAUGGCACCCGCAUACAAAGCAGCCACUGGCAGAGAGCCCCCCAGGACGAGGAUGACGGAGGAUGAAGAGGACCAGAUCCGACCAGCCAGCUCUCCCUCUUGGCUGAAUGCUUAGACCAUUGCCCUAGUGAGGGGGCAUUGGUCAUUAACCCCUGGCGUUUGCGAUGCUUAUGGCUUGAUGCUGUGAAUACUUUCCUCUAAGUCUCUGCUUGUGUUCAUAUGCCAGCGACCUGGAGUGUUUCCCUCCCCAAGGAGUUGUCAGUCUCUCUCUGACGACAACCCUGUUGUUGCCUGUCUGAUGUCCUGAACAGAAGGAUCCCUUUGGGAACUUCUCAGGAGGGGGACCUGGGCCAAGGGCUCCACCAGCAUCUCACUGGCAAUUCCAAGGCCCAGGGUGGGCUUCUGGAAUGAGCAUGAGCCCUGACGCCAUGCUACCGAACUGCCAAGGGCAUCCCCACCUCUUCUCAGAUCUCCCUGUUCUUUCUGGGGAACGGGGACAAGAAGAGCAGCCUCCCAGGGUUGUUGUGAGUAUUGAAUGAGAUAAAACCGCCUCAGGCGGGGCUGGGCAUAGAGUUGGUGGUCAGCAAAUGUCUGGUGAAAAAAGUUUGGUAGAUCAGUCCCUUCCCACCCCUGUCACUCUUAUCUCAUGCUUCUCGUUUAUUCUCCCACAGCGCUCCAGGCAGCCCCUGUCUGCGGGGCUCUCCUUGAAGCAGCCAAGCUUCUCGAAAGGCCUGUCUACACUUGCUGUCUUCCUUCCUAACCUCCAAUUUCCUCUUCAACCCACUGCUUCCUGACUUGUUCUGCUCCGUCGAACGACCCUACCUCAGGUCAGCCCUGUCCUGGGCACACCGGCUGCGACCUGGCUGGGCCGGCCGAAGAACCAGAUGAAGAGGCUGAAGCAGCCCCUGGAGGACCCCUGGCCUGCACCACCAAGCCUGCCUUGUUGCCCGUUGCCUGGCAUCUCAGGCCCAGACCCGUGCCUCUCCACUUUCUCCUGGUUUGGGUUGAAGACACUGUCCGGAACCCUCCAUGGAAGGAGAGCCCUCGACACACGACCCAGCACCCUCCAGCGUUCAAAUCGGCAGACUAGGAUGGAAGUGCCCUUGUGAGCUGGGGGGCUCUUCAAAGGGCCAAGGACAAAACGCGGGCCGAGGGACCAGCCUCUCAAAUGGGCUCCGAGCUCCAAUGACCUUCGCUCACCCCCUUGAAAUGUCUGGAAAACAGAAUGGGCAGAUUUUCUGUCUUCAAAGUUUCCGGCUAAACCUCUUCAAGUUCUUUAUUGUUUGGGACUGAGACACUCAGCAAUGGUAAUGGGUAGUUUCUUUUGUAUUUGCCUUGAAAGGCCAAAAUAUUUUCAUAUUGCUACAGACAAAGCCGUCUAUUUAGAAAUGAACGCCAUGUCUGUCCUUUCCCACUGGGGAGACUAUGUACGACGUGUGUGUGUGUCUCUAUGUACUCUAGGGUCUUGAAACAGGUUUCUCAUGCGGAUGGCCAUUCACUGGGGUCCAGUGGGACAUGCCUGCCCUGCCAAGGGGGCCUGGGGAACCCGGCCCUGAUUGCACAUCUGUCCCAGUUGGUCUGGGACGUGAGCCCCGGGAGGGUCCGGCUGCUCUAACAUUGACUCUGCCCUGUGCCUACAUCUGCCACGUGUGUGUGUUAGGGACUGUGGCUUGUGCCUUGGUGGUCAGCUUGGUGGGAGGAAGCAGAAGGGUCCAAGAUACUGUGGAUGUUCUCUUUCUCUUGUUGGGAGGUCAUCUCACGGGUGUCUGUUACAUGAUCCACAUAAGGGCCCACGGAUGGAUGAAUGAAGGCAGAAAGGAGUGGAUCGACAAAUAAAUAGGUAAAGAAGGGAGCAAGCCAGGAUGAGCGUGCCACGAACGAGGUCCCGUCUGAUGCCUAGGACAUUGAUCUCUAAAUAAAGUAUUGAAUCACCAUGUAAAGAGAGCCCCACAUGAGCUGAUACUCAGUCCUCAUGGACCCAGGAAUAGGUGUAAAUGAAAAUAGAUAGCCCCUGAAGUUUACCAAUAAAAGAAUAAAAUGUAAAUAGAAGAGAGAAUGACCGAGGGGUGGAAAUGCAGAAGCCGGUAGCCACAGGACCGUGUGGUGUGCUUACGCAGUCGCUAGGAGGCCAGAUCUUCUGGGCACUGUUCUGAUCACAAAUGAUAGCAAUGAUGAUGAUCCUUUUGGGCGGGAGGAAACUCCUGGAGGGAUGGAUAGGCUUCGGACAGGAUGGUGGCGAUGGGUUCGUGGUGCGCACUGUGUGUCGAAACACGAAAUUAAAAGGCGUAAAGAGAAGGUCACUGAAAGGGCUCCCAAAGCACUGGUGAGAACAAGAGGGUGAGUCCCAUCAAAACGAGCAGGUGCAAGAGAGCGAGAGAGGGAGCAAGUGAUUGGGAGGGAGAGGGGGCACGACAAAACAUACAUAGUAAACGGAAGGAAGAACGAGCAUUUUCUUAAAUCAGGGGAGGCACAAAUACAUAAGGAGGCCAGGUGGUCAUAAACCAGGAAUUAGGACGAGUCCACACCUGGGCUCCUGGCGUAGACAAAUAAUUAGCAGGCGAGAGUUCAAAGAAGAGGUAAAAAAAAAAAAAAAAAAAAAGAGAGAGGACCCAGGACACCCAGGAAGAGAGGUAACUUUUACCAAAAGUUGUCUAACUCCAGGCACACAUAAAGAAAUAAAUGAAUACGGAAAUGAAAGAAAGCCAAAGAGAGAGAGUGAGCAGUGGAAACUCUUGGACCCAGCUGGGAGCAUGGCGUGAGGGGCUUGUGUCCCCCGGUCCUGGGGCCUGAGUCUGUCCCGUGAAAGGAUAAAAAGGAGAAUAAAGUAAAAUAUCCAAAUAAAAAUCAAGAAGCGUGGAGGGAAAAAACGACAGGUACUCGGUCCAGAAAUACAGGAAUGGGUGAAUAAAUACAUACAGGUAGACAGUGGUAGGAUUCGUGGUGGAAGGCUGUCAUGCAGCAAAGGUUAUGGUGAGUCCAGUUCUACCAGCCAGGGUGCUAUCAAUAAAAUAAGACGUCUCUAAAUCAACAAGUAAUUCAGGAUCCAGAGAAACAGACGGGGCGGAGUAAAGGGGAGCCGGGCCUCUGGGCAGCAGGGUUGUCAUUAAUCCCAUCUGGGCCCCAAAGCCCCUGGAGAAGGAAGGCAAGCAAGUGGAGGGGAGAAGCAAAGCCGAGCAGGAGGGAAGGACCGCUCUCAGGGUGUUGGCAACCCAACGGAGAGAUGGGGUGGGUAGGUAGGGGAAUCCACGGGAGAGGGUGGGCUCAAACCGCGGAUGGGCCAGAGUCUGGGCAUUCGCUUCCAUUAAUAGUGGAGUAAGUAGCUGAUAAGGAAAAAGAAAACAGGAAGGGAGAAUGGUUAGAAGGAAGGAAGGAAGGCAGGCACACACAGAGGAGCUGCAGGGGUCGGGGAUGGCCAUUUGCAGGUGGCGUUACGAUUCAUCGGUCUGGGCCACUGAGCGCCAAAGAUGGAAAGAACGCAAGAAAGGAGAGAGACAGAGAGAGAAGCAGAAGAACGGGCUGGGGCUGGGGCAGACGGUUGACUACAGAUUAGCAUGUUUGCAGGUAGGUGUGUUUGCCUCCAGGAGCGUAAAAAUAGGUACUUCACUAGCGAGAAGGACCUGAGGGAUCCAUGAGCGCCCUAGGGAAGGAGUGAAGGAGAAAGAAGGUUUGUGUUAACCGAUGAGGAGGGUGCCUGAUUUCCAAAAGAAUGAAACGCAGUGAGAACGACUGAAAGAAAGGGUGGGAGAGAGAAAAAAAAAAACAACAAUCAAGAUGGGGAAAAAAGAUAAAAAUUAAAAAAAAACUAUAAAAAAUAAUAAAUAAAUAGGUCAAACAGUUAGGUCUAGGAGAGGGAAAUGGCUUAGCACCAAUUCAUCCACAUUCAUUCAGCUCUGGGGCCCGGAGUUUAUAAAUGAUAAAAACAAGACCAUAAACAAAAAGACUGACAACACGUAGGGAUGCGGGAGAGAGGCUCACGCUGGAGCCAGGAACGCGAGCAGGCGCCGUGAGCCCAGAGUUACGACUGAUUCAAAACUGGGCUCUGGAGACGGUGAAAUGAAUCCCAGACCAAAUCAGCAGUACGAGGAAUUAACGAACAAAAGGGAGCCUCGUGUGCACGGGCGCUGCGAAGGCUCCGGGAGCCACAGAUUAUGGUUAAUCCAAUUCUGUGCACCUGCGGUCCAUAAAUAAAAGAAUAAAUAUUGAAAUAGAAGGGUGACAGAAAGAACGAAUGGACACCGGAAUGACUGAAUUAGAAAUGGCGAUGCUUGGGACAGCCAGGAGAGCGCUGCCCUUGGGAUCUUCACUCAUCAGACUCCGUGCACCUGAGCCCCCCCCCCCCCGCCCGCCCGCCCGCCCCCAGCCAAAAGAUGCAGGGACCCAGUGCAAAGGGGAAGAGAGAGGAGGAGAGUGGAGGGAGACGAAGUGAACAAGGGAAGGGGGGGAAGGACACCAGAGAAGAGCACCGUGGGUGUGUCCAAAGGAGCAGGCUCUGUUCGGAUGAGCCAUGAGCUCCUCAGUCCUAAGGUUUCCAGGGCGAGGGAAGUGGAGGGAGUAGAAAAAGAAGCAAAAGAUGGAAAAGGGAAGGUGAUAAACGUGAAAACAACCACAGUGACAAAUGGAGAGUUGGGAGAGCUUGUCUGAACAGGGAUUAUAAUUGGUGUACAUACACUCUCCUUAAAUAGAUAAAUGCAUUACCCCUUUCAGAGAAUAAAUGAAAAAUAAAGGAAAUACCCAGCCCAAGGACAAGGCUGCAUCUUCUAGCACCGUAAUAAAAUAGAUGCAGUGGAGGCCCAUAAAUGAAUGAAUAAAUAAAUACCUUAAGUGUAAAAGCUGACUCCGUGCCAGGGAGAGAGAUUGCAGAUAUGCACAGCAGCGUGGUGCUCGGUGUGCAGGGGCCGGGGGGGGGGGGGCUUACCUGGUGGUUCUCUCACAGGGGAGCAGGAAUAGAAAGGAGUGUCCCGGGUGGGGGGGAGUGGACUCAUCCUCUCGUGGGGAGGAGCGAUAGAAAGGAAGGUGAGAUUUGGGAAGAAAUGCAAGAAAGGAACAGGGGACAAAAAUGCUAGAUGAGCACAUAAAUAGAGCUUGUGAAGGGAAGUCUGCAUGCCCAAGGCUGGUUGUGGAGGCCCACAGAUGAGGGAGUUAGGUGUAAAGGGAUGAAUGGAGGAAGAACUG